GACGCCAACUUAUGACAAAAAUUAUCUCUUAGGUUAGUAUCUGAUGCACCUGUUUAUAUAAUUUGGGACAAUUCUAUGUUUCUAGUGUGGAUAAAUUUUUAUCAGCCUUGCUGUAGUACAUUUUCUUUCCAAUGUUUUACUACAUAUGUAAUGUCUUUAAAAUAACUGCUUGUCUUUGUGUGCAGAGCCAUUUGAAGGAGUAGCUUAUUGCACCGGACAAACCUUGGUAUGAAUUUUUGUCUGUGAUAUUGUAUACACUAGUUUGAUGUUUAUUCUAGGGGAUGUACAAGAGUUCAUGGUAGAGUUCAUUUCAAGAUUAAAUUUUUUAAAGUUGCAUCAAGAUUUUUUCUUUGUUAACUGUGGUGUCAGGGCCAACUUGCACACACCUCACUAAUUACCGGGGAAACUUGCCACCCCAACUAGCAAUAGGUACCAGGUACCUCCAACUACCAGGGUUAGGAAGGAUGGGAAGAAACCAUCAUUAGUAUUUCUAUCUCAGCUGCUGCGAUUUGAACCUGAAACCUUAAUAGUUCUCAACCAACUUGAUUAACCACUAGGCCACACCUUUGGGUACAAUUUUGUGUCAAGAUUAAUUAUAGGGAUAAUUUUAGAGACCUCCCUCAAGGUUCAACUUUCUAACACUAAUUUCUCUUGCGAUUUACGAUAUUACGCUUGCGCUCCCUCUUUUUAUGGCAACAGUUUUGUUAACUUAUUUAUCAUUAAUAUAUAAAAAGUAUGACUAUUUUCCUUUCUAGUAUAUUCUUUUGUUAAAUUGAUUUUGUAAAUAUGUGCCCAAUUGCACGCAGGCAAGGGGAACCACUUACUAGAAUCGAAGUGCAUUCUACCGUCAGAAAAGUCAAAGUUGAUUUGUUAAUACACAAAGUAACUAAUCCAUAUUUCUUCUUUAUAUAAAAAAGAACUGACACAAUUUUCUGGAAGUUCUCGAAUGUUGAGUAUAUUCAAUUAUUUUAAAUGUUUUGUCCACCCUCUUCCAUCUAUCCCCCUUUGCAAAAGUUUCAUUUGCAAUUUGUAUGCAUACUCAAUAUCACAAUCCCUGAAAUAGUGCAAAGACUGUGUGAAUUGAAUAGUCAUUCUAAUCAUUGAUCAGAUCUACUCAAGGAAUAGACAGACAGCGAAAAGCGACAAGGGUUUGCCUCGCCUCGCGGUGAGGCGCUCGCCUUUUUGAAUUGAGGCGCUAAUUAAUACCAAAAGCACAAAAUAUUUAAUUGCAUUUAUAAAUAUCCAAAAUCUCAGUAAUGACAUAUUAACAAAUAUUUCAAUUCAAAGUCUAGAACUUGAAUGACUCAAUAAUUCAUAAGACAAUUGACAAACAAUAUUAGAACUCUAAAAGCCUAUUCUUCUUCAAAAUUAUCAAAAUCUUAAAGUUCAACAUCCAUUUCAUUAUGAUUAUAUUGCUCCUCAGAUUCUUCAUCAGUUAGUGUUCGAGUCCUACUUGAACUUGUAGAUUUAGUUUAUACUCCUUUGUCCUUGUCAAGUGUCGUUGAACUUGAAGAAAUUCCCCUUAGACCAUAGAUAUUCUCGUUAGCUACAAUUGCCGUAGCAACAAUACCCCAAGUAAGAUCACCUUCCUCAUAUACUAGUUUAUCUUCUUGAUCUUCGAGGCAUCCAACUAAGCAUUCAUUUGACUCAUCAAUAUUCUCCAAGGCAAUUGCAUCAAUGGUAUCAUGAGCAUCAUAGCAACGUUUCAAUAUUCUAUUGUACUUAUUGACUAACGUACACUAAAUCAUUGAGACGCGAUAGUGCCACCCUAUUUCUCUUUUUGGAAUUAAUCUGCUGUUGUAGAUAUUAACUAAUAGAUACUAAUAAUAAUAUAAUAUGGAAAUUAGAAUAUAAAAUAUUAUUCUUACAUGUUCAAACACUCUAAUUUCGCUCACAUCCGAAUGAGCUACAAAUUAGACUUAAUACUUUCAUGGCAAACUUUUGCAAGGUUGGAGUUUGGCUACUAAAUAGCGAAACCAUUCAACCAUAAAAAAAUAAAUUUAAGGGUUAAUAAGUAUAAAUAAGUCAAAUCUCUUGAGUAAUGCUAUAGUAUAACGAACUAAAUUAACUCACUUACUCGGUGACCUUAAGUCUUUGGCUCUUUGAGCCUGAUCACAACCAAACAUUCCAUCUGCAUUUUUGUACCUAGGAAGCUCAACGACUAGUAAAUUUUGUGUUGUUAUUUCGGGGUUCAUCUUCUCAACACAUGCACGACAACCCGUCCACACAUCAAAAUGUUUAGUGCCAUCUUCUUGAGCUUUAUAAAACAAUCUCGGGAUCAAAAUAUGGUCUGCAACAUGCAUAGGCCAAUGGAGUUGGUCAGUCCACCUUGCAUCAAUAAUUUAAAACACUUUCUUAUAUUGUUUCUUAACUCCACAAAAAGUCCGCUCAAUAGUUUCCUUGGCUCUAUCCAUUGCUUCAUAAAUAUAGGCCAUUGGUGGUUUAUUUCCCCAUCUACCAAACGAAAAACUACUGUCAAAGGACCACAAACUUAAGUGCCCGAACAACAUCAUUCCAAAAGUGGGAAGAAAUAAGAAGGUUGGCAACUUCUUUCCCCAAAGUUUCCUUUACAAAUCUACUUGAAGUCCAUUCGUUUGAGAGGACUAGAAUUCUCAAGUUUUUCUUUUGUUUGUACAUAGCUUUCAAAGUCAAGUAGCUUGUUGCAAAUCUUGUCUUGGCUGGUUUCACCAAAUUUCUUUCAUUGGUUAAUUUUCUCAUCAAGUUCAACCACAAUGACCUUUGACUAUUGUAAAAAUGGAUCUUGAUGGCCUUCUUAAAAAGUGUUAAAGUAAAAUUAUAGUAAUUAGUAGCUAGUAAGUAUUUUUAACUAUAAAGAAAGUUAGAGGAUAGGAGAGUGAUAUUACCUGAAGCAUAUGGGUUAAUCUUGAAUAUGUCACCAAACGUCAAAUUGAUGCAAUGAGCAACACAUGGAGUCCAAUAAAUGUGUCGAUACGCUCCUAUCAUCAUGCUUCCUGCUUUAAUAUUUUCACUAGCGUUAUUAGUGACAACUUGUACAACAUUUUCCAAUCAUAUUCUUUCAAUAGUGUUCUCGAACAAGUUGUACAUUUUGGUAGAAUCGGUAUAUUUAUUGUUAGCAUCAACAAAACCAAGAAAUACACUAACGAUUGAAGAAUUCACCAAAAUAUUGAUGAUCAUUUAAACUUUUUGUGCCAUCCAUUUAUCUAUCAUAAUGGAACAUCCAAACUUUCUCCAUUGCACUUUAUGCUCAUCAAUAGUUUUGUCCACUUUCUUCACAUCUUUUUUUAGGUGAGUAACUCUAAUUUCAUGGAAGGAAGGAGGCUUCAUUCCGGGGCCACGUUGCCUAAUGCCUCAAUGAAUUUAUCAAAUGAUUUGUAAUUAACACAAUUAAAAGGGAGCCCCGCAUCGUACAUCCGUUAUGCAAAAGCACUUACCAUGCGCUCCCUUAGAAUUUUCUAGGUUUCAUCAAAUCCUACUCCCUUUUCAAAGCCUCCCUUUUGUUGUGAUUUUUCUGAAAAAUAGAGAUUGAGAGGACAUUUCGUCACGUUCCGCUCCGUGGAUGAUGCACUUACACUAGAAGACAUCUUUUGAGUUUUCGAGGGAGGCAUCAUUUCACCAUAUUUAUCCAUAUCAUCAUCAUCAUCAAUAUUAACCACAUGUUCUUCUUGCUGCCUCAUCUGAUAUUUCGGAUAACUCGCAAUUUUAGUUUCCACCUAUGCCCUUAUUUCUUCUAUAACUUCUGUCCGACAACCAUUGUUUUACAUUUCUGUUUCCACCCAUCAAAAGUUGCUUGUGUCGAGUAACACCACCAUUAAAAGUAACUUUACAGAACAUACAUAUAAAUGAUUUUUUUGUUGGUCCUUGCAUACCAUAAUUCCAUCCAAUGUCCUUUUUUUUGCUAGCAUCAUACGUCAUUGAAAUCACUAUUUAUGGACAAAGAAAUACUAUAUUGUUUAGUAUAAAACUAAAUUGAGUAGGGAAGACACAAAUAUAGAAGGAUUAGAUUUUAUUUUUUAAAUAUAGGCAGAUUGCAAUAGUCAAUAGCUCCAGAAAUAAAAAACCAGAGCAUAAAAAACAGACUCUGCACACUGCACACAGCUGUGCUGACUGCAUAUUAAAGAUGAAGAAGAGAAGAAGAGAAGAAGAAAAAGAAAAAAAGGGUGCUGAAAACGUACCUGCUGAGGUCACGAAGCAGAGGAGAAAGAAGAACUGAAGAAGUACCUGCUGGAGAAGAGAGUCGGGAAGCUGAAGAAGAGGGUUCCGAAGCUUGCAGACUGCGAACGAAAGAAAAAAGGGAGUAGAGUUGUGGGUUUGUCAAAACUCCAAAAAAACUCUAGUAUUGCUUUUUAAUUAUUAAAUCAGGCUUUUUUUUUUUAUUUAUAAAAAAGGUGAGGCCUUUAGU
rnacentral:lncRNA from 1 species